GCCAGCAUGGUGUAAUGGUUUGAACAUUGGACUAUGACUCUAGAAACCAGGGUUUGAAUCACUGCUCAGUCA